CUAAACCGAGAAAAUCAAAGCUAAAGUUUAUGUAAAUUAACAUGAUUUUAUAUCACAUAUAAAACCACGACACGCUUAUGAUUUUUCUUUGUGUUUUCCUCCUGAAUUAUUAAUGAGUUUUUUAAGCUAUGUAUAAGCAUUCCACUGAUAUUAUUUUUAGUUUUAAAAUGUCUACCCUGAUUGUGACAUCAUUUAAUUAGAUCUACGAUGGCGGAUACCAGAAUGUUUUGGUUUCAAAUAACUCAAAAAUUAAGGUCGUUUGGGAAUAUUUGAAAAAAGAAUUUGUAAAUAAUCUCAACGUUCUUUCAAAUGAGAACUGUUGCCAUUUUCCUUUAAAGAAUGCUUAAUCUAGUACGUAACAGUGACUUAAACUCAUAGAUACACGACUAAAUUGAACAAGGGAAAAACAAAUAUUAUUAUUAAUAUUAAACUGCUCUCAGGCUUGAGACGUUCGAGCUUGUCGUGUAACCUCACGUCUCUGUUCUAUAUUACACAAUGAACAUUUCUUAACUUGUUACAUGAAGUUUGACAAAAGUUAAACGGAACAAGGUUUAAUUUAAAAUAGAAUUAUUUACAUUGAUAAAAGAUGCAUUUGAUCAUUAUUUGCCUCUGAGUACAACUUAUAUUUCUCUUAAACAACUCUUAAUUAGCCAUUUUCCAAUCAAGCAGAGGACUGGGUCUAGUUGAUAUUUGGAGGGACAACAAGUUAUAGUGAGCGAGCUAAAUAUAUAUUAAAAGAUGCCUUAUUAUAAUUGUUGCGUUUCAGGCUGCACAAAUAACUUUAGGAAUGUAGGAAAACUUCCUAGAUGCCAUAUUCGUCAUAUUGUUUAUUUUUUGUCCCUCCAAACAAGCGACUAGACCUAGUCCUCUGCUCGAUUGCGAAAUGGCUAAUAGGCCCUUCCAAGGCAUUUCAAUGUUCCAAGGUAUUUUCCGCCAUCUUGAAUCUAUUGUUUUCAACAUUGUGUUUCCACUCCUUGCAAAUUUACGUAUAGGGAAUUCUAUUGUGUUUCAUUAUGGCGUCUUUAACCUUGGAAGGGUCUAUUAGUACUAUUAAAUGUAGAUCUACGUAAUCAAAAAACCCACAAAUGACUUCGUAAGUAACAAAUUGCACACUUCAAUGACAUUGGAAAACUCAUUGAUCUAAAGGCAGCAAUGGAUAGAGUAUGCUUUUCACAUCAAUGAUAUUGUAGCCAGAAUUUUUAUAAUGAAAAGAGAUUUUAAAAAAUGGUAAUUGUUUUACAAAUCGAAGGUGUUUGAAAUAGUUUUUAUAUCAAACUUUUUGAUGGUUAAAAAUAGCGAAACAGCUCUCGUUGAAGACUGAGAUUUUAAGCUCAACUCGGGCUGAAACUUGCUAUGUAAAACAAUUUCAGCUCGGUUAAAGAUGCUGUACAGUCCGCUCUGCGCAUGUGCACAAAGGAGCCCUUUUUUAUUAUACAAACAGUUUAUUUAGGUUUUUAUUUCAUUUUAUGUUCUUGCAAAGAUUGAUUGUUGUGUCUUGAUAAUUUAUUUUACUCUAGAAUCAUGAAAAUAUAAAUAGUUGUCGAAUAAAAUUCUAUAUUUUGGAUACCGAAAUGUAAACAAAGCCUUUGUUUACAUACGGACUGUACCGCAUCUUUAACUGGAUUAAAAUUCAGCCUGGGUCGAAACGUCUUCAUGUAAUUCAUGACCUCUGAUACAUCUUAUUAAAGAUAAUUAUAACUAUGAUAAUUAUCAUGAUGAUUAUUAUUAUAUUUAUUAUGAUGAUA